rnacentral:rRNA from 1 species
AUUGAACGCUGGCGGCAGGCCUAACACAUGCAAGUCGAACGAGUGGCGUACGGGUGAGUAAUGUCUGGGAAACUGCCUGAUGGAGGGGGAUAACUACUGGAAACGGUAGCUAAUACCGCAUACCAUCAGAUGUGCCCAGAUGGGAUUAGCUAGUAGGUGGGGUAACGGCUCACCUGGGCGACGAUCCCUAGCUGGUCUGAGAGGAUGACCGGCACAACUGGAACUGGGACACGGUCCAGACUCCUACGUGAGGCAGCAGUGGGGAAAAUGGGAAAAUGGGCGCAAGCCUGAUGCAGCCAUGCCGCGUGUGUGAAGAAGGCCUUCGGGUUGUAAAGCACUUUCAGCGGGGAGGCGUUACCCGCAGAAGAAGCACCGGCUAACUCCGUGCCAGCAGCCGCGGUAAUUC